UACGGGGGGGGCAAGCGUUGUUCGGAAUUACUGGGCGUAAAGGGUUCGUAGGUGGCCUGCUAAGUCAGACGUGAAAUCCCUCGGCUCAACCGGGGAACUGCGUCUGAGACUGGUGGGCUCGAGGACAGGAGAGGAACGCGGAAUUCCAGGUGUAGCGGUGAAAUGCGUAGAUAUCGGGAGGAACACCAGUGGCGAAGGCGGUUGCCUGGAGCUUUGCUGACGCUGAGGCGCGAAAGCGUGGGGAGCGAGCCGG
rnacentral:rRNA from 1 species